GCUGCCAGUUGCCAACGGGUGAAGCCGGGCACUCUGGCGGGACUGCCAUCGACAGAUGGAGAAGUGGGGAUGACGUCAAGUCAUCAUGGCCCUUAUGUCCAGGGCGACACACGUGCUACAAUGGCCGGCACAGCGGGAAGCGAGGCAGUGAUGCCGAGCGGAUCCCUUAAAGCCGGUCUCAGUUCGGAUUGAAGUCUGCAACUCGACUUCAUGAAGCUGGAAUCGCUAGUAAUCGCAGAUCAGCCAAGCUGCGGUGAAUACGUUCCCGGGCCUU
rnacentral:rRNA from 1 species